rnacentral:rRNA from 1 species
UACGGAGGGAGCUAGCGUUGUUCGGAUUCAUUGGGCGUAAAGGGUGCGUAGGUGGCGGGGUUAGUCAGGUGUGAAAUCUCGGAGCUCAACUCCGAAACUGCACUUGAUACUGCCUUGCUAGAGUACUGGAGAGGAGAUUGGAAUUUACGGUGUAGCAGUGAAAUGCGUAGAUAUCGUAAGGAAGACCAGUGGCGAAGGCGAAUCUCUGGACAGUUACUGACACUGAGGCACGAAGGCCAGGGGAGCAAACGGG